UAUCAUGGCCAGACCUCCUCGUCAAAGCCUGAUGUCAUCAGAUCUCAGAAACUAAGCAGGGCUGAGCCUCAUUAGUACUUGGAUGGGAGACCAGUCGCCCAGGGCAGCUGUGGCUACAGUAGUAA
rnacentral:rRNA from 1 species